GACGAACGCUGGCGGCGUGCUUAACACAUGCAAGUCGAGCGGAGCGGCGAACGGGUGAGGAACGCGUGAGUAACUGCCCCCCUCUCUGGGAUAACAGUUGGAAACGGCUGCUAAUACCGGAUAGUGUGGGAUGACUCGCGUCCUAUCGGCUUGUUGGUGGGGUAGUGGCCUACCAAGGCGACGACGGGUAGCCGGCCUGAGAGGGCGACCGGCCACAUGGGGCUAAGGGACGGACCAAACUCGUACGGGCGGCAGCGGGGGGGAAUAUUGCACAAUGAGGGAAACCCUGAUGCGGCGGCGCCGCGUGCGGGAUGACCGGCUACGGGUGGUAAACCGCUUUCAGCCAUGACGCGGUAGUGGCAGAAGAAGCACCGGCUAACUACGUGCCAGCAGCCGCGGUAAUUC
rnacentral:rRNA from 1 species